CACGUAGGCACCAAGCGUUGUCCGGAUUUAUUGGGCGUAAAGAGCUCGUAGGCGGUUCAGUAAGUCGGUUGUGAAACUUUGGGCUUAACCCAAAGCGUGCAUCCGAUACUGCUGUGACUUGAGUUCGGUAGGGGAGUGGGGAAUUCCUAGUGUAGCGGUGAAAUGCGCAGAUAUUAGGAGGAACACCGGUGGCGAAGGCGCCACUCUGGCCGAUACGUGACGCUGAGGAGCGAAAGCGUGGGGAGCGAAGAGG
rnacentral:rRNA from 1 species